AUUGAACGCUGGCGGCAUGCCUUACACAUGCAAGUCGAACGGUAACAGGUCUUCGGAUGCUGACGAGUGGCGAACGGGUGAGUAAUACAUCGGAACGUGCCCGAGAGUGGGGGAUAACGAGGCGAAAGCUUUGCUAAUACCGCAUACGAUCUCAGGAUGAAAGCAGGGGACCGCAAGGCCUUGCGCUCACGGAGCGGCCGAUGGCAGAUUAGGUAGUUGGUGGGAUAAAAGCUUACCAAGCCGACGAUCUGUAGCUGGUCUGAGAGGACGACCAGCGACACUGGGCAUGAGACACGGCCCGGACUCCUACGGGAGGCAGCAGUGGGGAAUUUUGGACAAUGGGCGCAAGCCUGAUCCAGCCAUGCCGCGUGCAGGAUGAAGGCCUUCGGGUUGUAAACUGCUUUUGUACGGAACGAAAAGACUCCUUCUAAUAAAGGGGGUCCAUGACGGUACCGUAAGAAUAAGCACCGGCUAACUACGUGCCAGCCGCCGCGGUAACAC
rnacentral:rRNA from 1 species